GUAUGAUCUCUCUAAAAGCUGAAAAUGAAUUUGAUAGUUGGGGUUUCACAGCCCCAGAUCCUUUUCAAGCGUGUAAGGAAAGAGUAUGUAAGAAAGCCAUAGCAGGACUGGUAGAUCAAGAUGGUGAAACACAAACAGAAAGUAAGGACAUUAUAAAUAUUGUCACAAAAUAUUUUAAGCAGUUGUUUGCAAGACAGCCUAUUGCAAAUGAAAAUAUUUGCAAGAUGUUGAUAAUCCGGUAUUAAAUGCAGUGGAUGCUGAGACCAUGGUUAAGCCUAUAACAGAGGAAGAAGUUAGACAUAGCAUUCAAUCAUUAGUUGGGAAGAAAAGUCCAGGAUUGGAUGGGAUAACUGCAGAGUUUUAUAAAGUGUUUUUAGAUCUUUUGGUAACGGAUCUUGUAAUGCUAUAUAAUGAAGUGCUAACUCUGGGACAGUUGCCGUCCUCACAGUAUGCCUCAGUCUUGGUACUUUUAUCUAAAAGUGGUAAUUUGAAUGAACUAAAGAACUGGCGUCCGUUAUCAUUAUUGAAUACUGAUUACAAAAUUC